GCUGGCGGCGUGCUUAACACAUGCAAGUCGAACGAUGAAGCCUAGCUUGCUAGGUGGAUUAGUGGCGCACGGGUGAGUAAUAUAUAGAUAACGUGCCUCUUAGUCUGGGAUAGCCAUUGGAAACGAUGAUUAAUACUAGAUACUCCUUCUAACUCUAAUGUUAGUCGGGAAAGUUUUUCGCUAAGAGAUCGGUCUAUAUCCCAUCAGCUAGUUGGUAGUGUAAGAGACUACCAAGGCAAUGACGGGUAGCGGGUUUGAGAGGAUGAUCCGCCACACUGGUACUGAGACACGGACCAGACUCCUACGGGAGGCAGCAGUGAGGAAUAUUGCACAAUGGAGGAAACUCUGAUGCAGCAACGCCGCGUGGAGGAUGACGCAUUUCGGUGUGUAAACUCCUUUUAUAUGUCAAGAAAAUGACGGUAGCAUAUGAAUAAGCACCGGCUAACUCCGUGCCAGCAGCCGCGGUAAUACGGAGGGUGCAAGCGUUAUUCGGAAUCACUGGGCGUAAAGGACGCGUAGGCGGGAUGCCAAGUCUGAUGUGAAAUCCUAUGGCUUAACCAUAGAACUGCAUUGGAAACUGGUAACCUAGAGUAUGGGAGGGGGAGAUGGAAUUAGUGGUGUAGGGGUAAAAUCCGUAGAUAUCACUAGGAAUACCGAAAGCGAAGGCGAUCUCCUGGAACAAUACUGACGCUAAGGCGUGAAAGCGUGGGGAGCAAACGGGAUUAGAUACCCCGGUAGUCCACGCCCUAAACGAUGUUCACUAGUCGUCGGGAUGCUAGUCAUCUCGGUGAUGCACUUAACAGAUUAAGUGAACCGCCUGGGGAGUACGGUCGC
rnacentral:rRNA from 1 species